UUGGAGCAGGUGUGGAGACCAUCCCGUCCCUCCUACCCUUGACUGUUUACGACCUGGCCUCUCCCCCAAGAACUGAGGUUUUUGGUGAUAGCUUUUGGUGCUGCUGGUUGAGGAUGAGUGCACCUGAGAGCCUCUCACACAUACAGAGGGGAGAGAGAGGCUGUGAUCAGCUCCUCACUGCUUCUCUCUUGCUACAAACCCACACCACAGUGUUAUGAGGGGUCCAGAAAUCUGCACGGAUAAGAGGUUGCCGACGAGGCUGAAUGCAUCACUUCAUCUGGCAGAGUUGAACUGUGGGGAUUAAAAGGAAAAGCUGGAACCAGCCAUUGGUGGUCCCUCAAUUUGUCUUUGCAGAAGCAAAGCUCUUUGUGGCACUGUCUGGGCCUAGGGCCUCAUCCAAGGCUGGUGGAAUGAAUGCGGUGGGGUUUCUGGCUCAGGGGACACCGGGCUGCUUCAUGCAGUUUUGGAUGCAUGAUCAAAAAGUACAUAUAUGCAUGUAUGUGUGGUAAUGGCAUCCACAUCAUGUCCAUGACAGCAGCGGGAAUUUGAACCAUCGCACUUUAAAUGACAGUAUGGGUAAAACUGAAGCUUUGUUUAAUUCUGUGGAAUGACAAACAUUUUCCCCCUUCACUGGAGAAUUUUCCUUGCAUAUCUGAAUGAAGAAGCUCUCAUUUGCUUUGUGCUCUGUACAAGAUACAGCUUUUGGCAAUAAAUGAACAGUAAUCUGGUUUCAACCUUUACCUCUUCCCUCACCCCCUGCAAAAAAAGAUUUAAAAAUGUGUAUUGUUUUGUCAAGAUGGUUAGAUCCCAACAGAACUUGUGUCUGCAGCACAGCCUACUUGAAAUAACGUUAUCUUGCAUCAUAGAGGCCUCCCUGAAACUUUAUCAUCACUGUUCCCAGUGCAAAGUGUUGCUCUUUCAUGACAUCUUUGUAUUCCCCAAUCCAGCCACUUCAGCUACUAAAAAUAAAUUGUCUGUGUUAUCAGGGAAUAAAAGCAGCUGAAGUAUCAUGGGAGCUGUUUCUGCCCGCAAAAGCAUAAAGUUAGAAACUACCUUUUUCAAGACAAUCAUAUUUUUGUUAUGAUCCAUUUUGGACCAUGUAUUCAUUAAUCUCUUUCUAGCAGUAGCCACAAUUAAACUUUACAUUCAGGGUAGUCUGAGGAAAAAGAUCAUGACUAUGUUUCUUCAAAGUGUAAUAGCAGACAAUAAAACGUGAACGUGAGGAAAUAAUAUUUAAAUUUAAUCCCCCUAGUCUGUACAAUAACCUUCACCUUAUCUCUGUACUAUGCAGCAUUAGCUAUUCCUUUUUUAUUUUGGCUACCUGGUUCUGUUAGCUGAUAACUGUAUCACAAAGCUUUAGGUACGUGAGAUGAAUUUUUGUGACUGACUGUGAGAUGUCUUCAUGCAUGUCUUAUUGAAGACAUUCUUACUCUAAGUUUGACCUGUUCUGACUUUCACUGUGAUGGUAACAGCAGCCUUUGGGAAGCAGAAAAGGAGACAAAACUUGGAGUCCGUUGCAGGGGUGGUCAGUAAGAUGGGAAGUCAAUUGUAAACCUA